UCUAUAGGCCCCAUUUGUUGCUUCCAAGCUUAGUAUUUGAAGCAGGCAAAAGCUUCUUCAACGGGCAUAUGGAAACAUUUAGGCUCUGUUUGUUUGCAAGUAUUUGGUUUUCCAGAAAACAUUUUCCUACUUUUACGGUGUUUGGUUGCAAGAAAACAUUUUACAGUUGGAAAAUAUUUUCCAAUACACGGGUAAAAUCUCAUUCGUUUUUGGGAAAAUGUCUUACGGAUUUUUUUUGUGUAAGACAUUUUCCAUCUCCUUCUUGUCCAGGCAAAGGCCAAUCUCAUUCCUCUCUUUCUCUCUUUCUCAGGCAAAUCUCAUUCCUCUUCGCAAGGUCUUGACUUAAGCAAAGUGUGAAGGAGGAAGUGGCAAACAUAAUAGCACCCCUGAUGGUGAGACCAAUAACACGGUGGCCUUUCUUUGCCUUCUUGGGUGGUGCAAUGUUCUGCUUGCUGGCUAGCAACACAUGCCACCUUCUUUCUUUCCCCUCUGAGCGCCUAUCAUAUAUCAUGCUCAGGCUAGACUAUGCUGGGAUGGCGGCUCUCAUUUCUACUUCCUUGUAUCCUCCAGUGUAUUACUGAAAGAAGUAGCUAAAAUGAAACUAGAGAACUAGAGAAGAGUCGAUUACUGAAAGAAGUAGCUAAAAUUUAUCUGCGGUUGAAUUUAUGCUCAACCCAUUGUUAGUGAAGUGUAUAUUCUUCAUUAAAUCAGUCUUACAGCUCUAAGAACCAUUAGCUUUCAGCCUUAAUUUAUGUUCUAAACAUGCAAAUACUUGUAAUAAUGUGGCAGAGACAAGAACUUAAUGUUUUGGAGGUUUUAACUUCUAUGCAUUAAUGUACACAGCUUGUAUACUUAUAAUGGGGGGUGGAUGAUAAAUGGCAGAGAAUAGCCUGUAAAAUUUGACUUACAACAA